UUUAUAUAUUUAUUAUCUGACAAUAUUUCUUUUUAAUAUUUAAAAGCUAAUUCCCCAAUUCCCAUCGCCACUUCUCCUCCGCCGUCGUCAACACCACCGAUACACCGCCAUCAAAACAACUGAAUUCGAUUCGUCUCUGAUAUCUUUUGCCAUGGAUUGCAUUGAAGACAUAUUUGAAUCCUCGUUAAAGUUAGAAGAAACCCAUUUCAAAGAUGGUUAUGAUGAGGGUCACGCCGAUGGUUUAAUCUCGGGGAAGGAAGAGGGCCGGCAAGUGGGCUUGAAAACCGGAUUCGAAAUUGGUGAGGAAUUGGGGUUUUACAGAGGCUGUGUCGAUGUUUGGAAUUCCGCGGCUCGGGUUGACCCAAAUUUCAUCUCUGUCAGAAUCCAGAAAACAAUCAAGCAGAUGGACGAAUUGCUUCACAGCUACCCGAUUCUCGAACCCGAAAAAGAAUCGGGUUCCGAUAUGAUUGAUGCGUUAAGGCUUAAAUUUAGGGCUAUUUGCGCUAGUUUGAACAUGAAAUUGGAGUACAAUGGUUACCCCAAGACGUCAGAUGUUGAAUUUUGAUGCUUAAUUCGGCGGUAUUUAGCAGCAUAUAGAUGAUGCUUGCAAACUGUUUGAUAUAUGUUCUAAGAAAGAAAAAAAUGUGUCUGCGAUUUUAAUUUGAUUUUUCGUGGUAUUGUUGUUGCAAUUGAGGGCCCAACUUUUAUAAAUCGUAUAGUUGAUUGUUCUCAGCCGCAUA